rnacentral:rRNA from 1 species
GGGCCCCGCANAGCAGCGGAGCAUGCGGCUUAAUUCGACGCAACGCGAAGAACCUUACCAAGGCUUGACAUAUACAGGAAUACGGCAGAGAUGUCGUAGCCGCAAGGUCUGUAUACAGGUGGUGCAUGGUUGUCGUCAGCUCGUGUCGUGAGAUGUUGGGUUAAGUCCCGCAACGAGCGCAACCCUCGUUCUGUGUUGCCAGCAUUUAGUUGGGGACUCACAGGAGACUGCCGGGGUUAACUCGGAGGAAGGUGGGGAUGACGUCAAAUCAUCAUGCCCCUUAUGUCUUGGGCUGCACGCAUGCUACAAUGGCUGGUACGAACGGCUGCAAUACCGCAAGGUGGAGCGAAUCCGAGAAAGCCAGUCUCAGUUCGGAUUGGGGUCUGCAACUCGACCCCAUGAAGUCGGAGUUGCUAGUAAUCGUAGAUCAGCAACGCUACGGUGAAUACGUUCCCGGGGCUUGUACACACCGCCCGUCACGUCACGAAAGUCGGUAACACCCAAAGUCAGUGGCCCAACCGUAAGGAGGGAGCUGCCAAAGGUGGGAUCGGUGAUUGGGACGAGUCGUAACAAGGUAGCCGUAA